rnacentral:tRNA from 1 species
GGGCUCGUAGCUCAGUUGGUUAGAGCGCUACGUUGACAUCGUAGAGGUCACAGAUUCGAGUUCUGUCGGGCCCA